GUAACAAGGUUUCCGUAGGUGAACCUGCGGAAGGAUCAUUACCGAGUGCGGGUUCCAACGAGCCCAACCUCCCACCCGUGUUUACCAUGACCGCGUUGCCUCGGCGGGCCCACUGGGGCCUGGCCCCGGUCGCCGGGGGGCUUCUGCCCCCGGGUCCGCGCCCGCCGAAGCGCCCUGGAACCCUGUCUGAAUAGUGAGUCUGAGUCUAUGAUUAAAUCAUUAAAACUUUCAACAACGGAUCUCUUGGUUCCGGCAUCGAUGAAGAACGCAGCGAAAUGCGAUAAGUAAUGUGAAUUGCAGAAUUCCGUGAAUCAUCGAAUCUUUGAACGCACAUUGCGCCCCCUGGCAUUCCGGGGGGCAUGCCUGUCCGAGCGUCAUUUCUGCCCUCCAGCCCGGCUGGGUGUUGGGUGUUGUCCCCCCGGGGACACGCCCCAAAGGCAGUGGCGGCGCCGCGUCGGGUCCUCGAGCGUAUGGGGCUUUGUCACCCGCUCGGGACGGACUCGUCGGCGCUGGUCUUCCUCCAGGCGACCCUUCGGGGCCCGUCUACCUUCGGUUGACCUCGGAUCAGGUAGGGUUACCCGCUGAACUUAAGCAUAUCAAUAA
rnacentral:misc_RNA from 1 species